GCGAUCGAGACUAUAAGCUACACAAGUACAGAAGAACCUGCAUCAAAUUCAGGAUCAAGAGUUCACGAUGAUUCACAAACUACAAGCAACCAAAUAUGAGUAUGCUCACUAGUCUAAGUUUAUUUGUCGCUUCAGGUAAAGAGAUGUAAAAUACAUUAGUCCUGAUAACAUAAACCAAAAGCCUUUCUAGAGGUUAAAAACCUAAAUAAGAUGAAUAAACAUUAAUUUUCCAGUUUUAACUGUGAGAAGACUGUUUGUGCUUUAAACAGAAAAUGACCCGGGCUCUGAAACUACAUUAAAGGUACAGUAUGUGAAAUCUCACCACUAGGGUGUGCAGGUUAGAGUCAGGGGAGUUCGAUUUUCUUACCCCAUCACAAUUUAAGUGCAUUAUCCUAGCUACGGUGGCCACUGUGUGACAAAACUCUGGCCACAGUUCAUCUGUAGUGAGUGUAGGCUGUCAGUCCACUGUUUACCUCAGCUGUCAGUAUGUGUCCAUGUCUAUUUACUCUGGAGGACGCUGUAAAACUUUGCGAAAGGAGUUCAAUACGACGAUGAUCACUUCUGUUCGGUGAAGCAAUACUGAGACAUUUGUGAACCUGCUGCGAGUUUCUACCUGUUUAAGCUGGAUCUCAGAGUUGACAUGGACAUCACAGAUCUGGCAGUGGAA